UGACUGUGCUGUCCUGAUUGUUGCUGC
rnacentral:piRNA from 3 species